rnacentral:rRNA from 1 species
UACGUAGGCAGCGAGCGUUGUUCGGAGUUACUGGGCGUAAAGGGUGUGUAGGCGGCCUAUUAAGUUUGGUGUGAAAUCUCCCGGCUCAACCGGGAGGGUGCGCCGAAAACUGGGAGGCUAGAGUGCGGGAUGGGAGAGUGGAAUUCCCGGUGUAGCGGUGAAAUGCGCAGAUAUCGGGAAGAACACCCGUGGCGAAGGCGGCUCUCUGGGACGGUACUGACGCUGAGACGCGAAAGCGUGGGGAGCGAACAGG